CUAUUCUUUACGAAAAUAUUGUGCAUUUAAUCUGAAGCAAUGUGGAGUACUUUCCCCGCAAAUGAAAACAUAUUUGACCGUGGAUUUCAGUCCAGUACAGUGUUUUGUAGUUUUUAAAUCACGACAAUAUUUUUUGGGAUUUUUAUGCAUGUUUUUACCGUUAAUUUUGAAUUCAAUGAUAAGUUAUAAUAGACUAUAUAUGACAUGGUGAAAUUAACAGUAGGCAGGAAUCAAACCUGCAGCAAUUAGGGCUUUUAUAAAACCUUGACCGAUAGAAGUACUACUGUAAAACAUGAGCAGCCGAUCGGCUUUAUCUGAUAUACAAACUCGAGCCGUAGCCAAAGGCGAGAGUUUGUAUCUGAUGAGUAUAUCAGAUAUAAAGAUCGGAUGCGAAUGGUUUAAGUGAAAUUAGUAGAUUAUAAGUGUUCUACGGUGAUUUUCACGAAUUCAACAAUUGGCAGGAGUCAAACCAGCGCCACUGCCAAAGGGCUUUUAUAAAACCUUGAUAUAGGUGAAAUUAGCAAAUUGUAAUUAGACUUACAGUGAUUUAAUAUUAUCUUAAUAAACUAAACUCGGACUUUGAUGUUGAGCGUCCAAGGAGACGGAAAUCUAUUUGCAUGAAAUACCCUUGAGCAAUAUCACCUGCUGCUCUGGUGUUAAAUAGCGCCGACCUGGUUUGCAUGUAAGUGGUUAAUGGUUCCAAUUAGUGAUGAUGGUGGCAGCGGUAAAAUUUGAACCUCGCAAAUAAUUUUGAUAGUGUAGUGUUUAUUCUUGCAUGUUUAUAUUGUAAAAUACGUCUUGUAAGGACUAAAGUCUGGUGUAAAAUGGCUGCAAUCCUUUGGGGGUUCAAAUCUGAACCUCACAAAUAAUUUCACAGUAGUGCAUAGUUAUGUAUUUAUUUUUACAUGUUUUAUAUAGUGUAUAAAGGUAUAGGCCUGAAAAUCAGUAUUGCGUUGUCCAGUUUGUAGUACAAGUCCGUAAUCAAAUGGUCGUGUGUAGUUACUGUUAGAUGGAUGAACUUAGUAUGGGAUUCUAGUUCUGUUGUCCAAUCUUUCAAUCGUAGCUGUAUUUUUUAUAUAAUAUGAUUGUAUUUAAUAAGAUAUGAUGAUUCGGCCCCAAAUGGACCAUUCCCCAAUUAACCAAAAUUUUGAUCUCAACAAGUCUAGACAAAAUUCCAUCAUAGCAUGAAAGAGCAUCACAAAAUUAGUAAUAUUCCAAAGUUUCGUUGCGACUGAAUGUUGUAAAACGCGGAUAAAUAUACUAUAGCUAGGGACGCCGGAACGAUAAUAAGGCAA